CAGUCGCCACGGGAAUACGUAGGGUGCAAGCGUUAAUCGGAAUUACUGGGCGUAAAGCGUGCGCAGGCGGUCCGCUAAGACAGAUGUGAAAUCCCCGGGCUUAACCUGGGAACUGCAUUUGUGACUGGCGGGCUAGAGUAUGGCAGAGGGGGGUAGAAUUCCGCGUGUAGCAGUGAAAUGCGUAGAGAUGUGGAGGAAUACCGAUGGCGAAGGCAGCCCCCUGGGCCAAUACUGACGCUCAUGCACGAAAGCGUGGGGAGCAAACAGGAUUAGAUACCCCUGUAGUCCCUGUCUCUUAUAA
rnacentral:rRNA from 1 species